rnacentral:rRNA from 1 species
UUGAACGCUGGCGGCAGGCCUAACACAUGCAAGUCGAGCGGUAGCACAGAGAGCUUGCUCUCGGGUGACGAGCGGCGGACGGGUGAGUAAUGUCUGGGAAACUGCCUGAUGGAGGGGGAUAACUACUGGAAACGGUAGCUAAUACCGCAUAAUGUCGCAAGACCAAAGUGGGGGACCUUCGGGCCUCAUGCCAUCAGAUGUGCCCAGAUGGGAUUAGCUAGUAGGUGGGGUAACGGCUCACCUAGGCGACGAUCCCUAGCUGGUCUGAGAGGAUGACCAGCCACACUGGAACUGAGACACGGUCCAGACUCCUACGGGAGGCAGCAGUGGGGAAUAUUGCACAAUGGGCGCAAGCCUGAUGCAGCCAUGCCGCGUGUGUGAAGAAGGCCUUCGGGUUGUAAAGCACUUUCAGCGGGGAGGAAGGCGGUGAGGUUAAUAACCUCAUCGAUUGACGUUACCCGCAGAAGAAGCACCGGCUAACUCCGUGCCAGCAGCCGCGGUAAUACGGAGGGUGCAAGCGUUAAUCGGAAUUACUGGGCGUAAAGCGCACGCAGGCGGUCUGUCAAGUCGGAUGUGAAAUCCCCGGGCUCAACCUGGGAACUGCAUUCGAAACUGGCAGGCUAGAGUCUUGUAGAGGGGGGUAGAAUUCCAGGUGUAGCGGUGAAAUGCGUAGAGAUCUGGAGGAAUACCGGUGGCGAAGGCGGCCCCCUGGACAAAGACUGACGCUCAGGUGCGAAAGCGUGGGGAGCAAACAGGAUUAGAUACCCUGGUAGUCCACGCCGUAAACGAUGUCGAUUUGGAGGUUGUGCCCUUGAGGCGUGGCUUCCGGAGUUAACGCGUUAAAUCGACCGCCUGGGGAGUACGGCCGCAAGGUUAAAACUCAAAUGAAUUGACGGGGGCCCGCACAAGCGGUGGAGCAUGUGGUUUAAUUCGAUGCAACGCGAAGAACCUUACCUGGUCUUGACAUCCACAGAACUUUCCAGAGAUGGAUUGGUGCCUUCGGGAACUGUGAGACAGGUGCUGCAUGGCUGUCGUCAGCUCGUGUUGUGAAAUGUUGGGUUAAGUCCCGCAACGAGCGCAACCCUUAUCCUUUGUUGCCAGCGGUUAGGCCGGGAACUCAAAGGAGACUGCCAGUGAUAAACUGGAGGAAGGUGGGGAUGACGUCAAGUCAUCAUGGCCCUUACGACCAGGGCUACACACGUGCUACAAUGGCAUAUACAAAGAGAAGCGACCUCGCGAGAGCAAGCGGACCUCAUAAAGUAUGUCGUAGUCCGGAUUGGAGUCUGCAACUCGACUCCAUGAAGUCGGAAUCGCUAGUAAUCGUAGAUCAGAAUGCUACGGUGAAUACGUUCCCGGGCCUUGUACACACCGCCCGUCACACCAUGGGAGUGGGUUGCAAAAGAAGUAGGUAGCUUAACCUUCGGGAGGGCGCUUACCACUUUGUGAUUCAUGACUGGGGUG